rnacentral:rRNA from 1 species
AGAGUUUGAUCCUGGCUCAGAUUGAACGCUGGCGGAAUGCUUUACACAUGCAAGUCGAACGGCAGCACGGGGGCAACCCUGGUGGCGAGUGGCGAACGGGUGAGUAAUACAUCGGAACGUGCCCAGUCGUGGGGGAUAACGUAGCGAAAGCUACGCUAAUACCGCAUACGAACUCUGGUUGAAAGCGGGGGAUCGCAAGACCUCGCGCGAUUGGAGCGGCCGAUGGCAGAUUAGGUAGUUGGUGGGGUAAAGGCUCACCAACCCCACGAUCUGUAGCUGGUCUGAGAGGACGACCAGCCACACUGGGACUGAGACACGGCCCAGACUCCUACGGAAGGCAGCAGUGGGGAAUUUUGGACAAUGGGCGCAAGCCUGAUCCAGCCAUUCCGCGUGCAGGAUGAAGGCCCUCGGGUUGUAAACUGCUUUUGUACGGAACGAAAAGGCCUGGGUUAAUACCUCGGGCUCAUGACGUACCGUAAGAUAG